UCGUGCUCGCCUUGGACUUGGCCGUGCCCUUUUGGGACGGCCACGCUCAUGCGACGCCGGCGUCAAUGAGGAAUGCUACCUGGUUGAUCUUGCCAGUAGUCAUAUGCUUGUCUCAAAGAUUAAUCCAUGCAUGUGUAAGUAUGAACAAAUUCAGACUGUGAAACUGUGAAUGGCUCAUUAAAUCAGUUAUAACAGGCGAUGCCGGCGUCAAUGAGGAAUGCUGCCAGGUUGAUCCUGCCAGCAUUCAUAUGCUUGUCUCAUAGAUUAAGCCAUGCAUGUGUAAGUAUGAACAACUUUAGAGUGUGAAACAUCGAAUGGCUCAUUAAAUCUAUUAUAGUUUGUUUGAUGGUAUCUACUACUCGGAUAACUGUAGUCAUUCUAGAGCUAAUACGUGCGAUAAACCCCGACUUCUGGAAGGGAUGCAUUUAUAGAUAAAAGGUCUACGCGGCACUGCCCUUUGCUGCGAUGGUUCAUGAUAACUCAACGGAUCGCACGGCCAUCGUGCUAGUGACGCAUCAUUCAAAUUUUUGCCCUAUCAAUUUUCGAUGGUAGGAUAGUGGCCUACCUUGGUGGUGACAGGUGAUGGAGAAUUAGGGUUCGAUUCCGGAGAGGGAGACUGAGAAACGGUUACCACAUCCAAGGAAGGCAGCAGGCGCGCAAAUUACCCAAUCCUAACAUGGGGAGGUAGUGACAAUAAAUAACAAUACCGGGCUUUAUGAGUCUGGUAAUACGAACGGUGGAGCGUCAUGCAAGUAGCGCCGCAAGGUGCCAUGCGCAUGUGGCGAAGCUCAGUACUUGUUGAUCCCCAUUGGAUGUUGUGAGCAAAAUCGGGAGGCGACAUCGCUCGUGGCGGCAAAUAGCAUUUGACAACAAACCGGCAAAACGUCGUGCAAGUAGCGCCGCAAGGUUCUGUGCGCAUGGGGCGAAGAAUAUUAUGUUGUUGAUUGCCAUUGGUUGUUGUGGGUUGUGUUUGGAAUAUCUCGUGGCGGCUGAUAGCUUUCGACAACAAACGGUGGAGCGUCGUGCAAGUAGCGCCUCAAGGUGCCGAGUGCAUGGGGUGAAGCUCAGUAAAUGUCGAUUACCAUCGGUUGUUGCAGGCAACAUCGCUCAUGGCGGUUGAUGGCUUUCGGCAGUGGCGGCUGAUGGUUUUUGGCAACACGGGAGGCGAUAUCGCUCCUUGCGGGCAACAUCAGGAGGCGACAUUGCUCGUGGCGGCUGAUGGUUUUUGGCAACAAAAUGACAAAGCAUCGUGCAAGUAGCGCCGCAAGGUGCUGCGCGCAUGGUGCAAAGCUUAGUAAGUUGCCGAUUGCCAUCGGUUUUUGCAGGAAAAAAUCAGGAGGCGACAUCGCUCGUGGCGGUUGAUGGCUUUUAGCAACCAAUGCCCAAGCAUCAUGCAAGUAGCGCCGUAAGGUGCCGUGCUCACGGGGCAAAGCUUAGUAAGUUGCUGAUUGCCAUCAGCUGUUGCGGGAAACAUCAGAAGGCGACAUCGCUCGUGGCAGCUGGUGGUUUUUCGCAAUGGAACGGCAAAGCAUCGUGCAAGUAGCGCCGCAAGGUGCCAUGCAUAUGGGGCGAAGCUCAAUAAAUUGCCUACUGCCAUCGGUUGUUGUGGGUUGUGUCUAGCAUUGUUCAAACCCCCUAUUCGUGAUUUGCGGGGCUUGUCUUGGCUUUGCAACGUUCGCAUCGGCAACAACACAUGGCUGCGCGUCACGUGUUAGAGCUGGUGUUGGCUUUGUAUCGAUGAGGCGUGUACGUGUGGCAGAUGAGUGGUUUUCCGCUUGUGUGGCUAGGUUGGAUCCCUGCUCGAGCACCGACGUUGUAGCUCGCAUGCCAUCUCAGUAAUGUCACAAGCACAAAUUUAGGCUUGUUCGAUGUCGGUUUUCUGUGUUGCAUACCUAAUGCUAAGGCAUUAUCAAGAACAAUUGGUCGCCUUUCGCCCCUCACGUUCGACGUGCGGGUAGAACCAAAAGUUGCAUUGUGCCCUAGGUCGUCCUGGCUUCGCCUUGCAAUGGCUUGGUCCACGUCUUAGCAUGCUCGGGCUAUCGGAUACGGUAAACGCAAUGGGCAUUGGGCCUUCAUUGGCUCCUAGCUGCCCAAAGAAUGCUCCUUAAGAAUGAUGGUCGUGCGCGCCUUGGACUUGGCCAUGCCCUUUUGGAUCGGCCACGCUCAUGCGACGCCGGCAUCAAUGAGAAAUGCUACCUGGAUUAUCCUGCUAGUAGUCAUAUGCUUAUCUCAAAGAUUAAGCCAUGCAUUUGUGAGUAUGAACAAAUUCAGACUGUGAAACUGCGAAUGGCUCAUUAAAUCAGUUAUAGUUUGUUUGAUGGUAUCUACUACUCGGGUAACCGUAGUAAUUCUAGAGCGAAUAAGUGCAACAAACCCCGACUUCUGGAAGGGAUGCAUUUAUUAGAUAAAAGGUCGACGCGGGCUCUGCCGUUGUUGCGAUGAUUCAUGAUAACUCGACGGAUCGCACGGCCAUUGUGCCGGUGACGCAUCAUUCAAAUUUCUGCACUAUCAAAAUUCGAUGGUAGGAUAGUGGCCUACCAUAAGACCCAUAAUAUUGGCGUGACGGAUGUCGGGCAUAAUUCAUGUCAAGGGCUUGUGCAUUGCCCCUUGACAUGGCUUUGUUGAAGCGUUGACAAGCAAUGUACAAGGCUGAGCGUGUGUCUAAGGUUGUGAUGGGCUUAGGCAAGGCAGGUAGACAAGGCAGCUGGAGUGUUGGCAAGGCGGCCUUGGUUCGUCAGCGUCGGCAAUGGCAAACGGAAGCAUGACACUUGAAAAAGGCGUUCGCGGAUCUGUGGGAUGACUUAAUUUAUAGCAUGGAGUGUCUAUGAAAUUAAGGGCGAGGCCAGGUCCAAGGCAAAGUUGGGCGGAAGCAUGCGCGGAUUGGUGGGACGACUUAUUUUAUAGCGGGGCGUGGCUAUGAAAUUAAGGGCAAGGCAAGGUCCAAGGCAAAGCCGGGAAAAGGCAUGCGCGGAUCAGUGGGACGACUUAAUUCAUAGUAGCGCAUGGCUAUGAAAUUAAGGGCGAGGCAAGGUCUAAGGAAAAGCUGGGCUGGAGACAAAGAAAACGUGGGCAAGGCUAGAGGCCAUCGUGCAUGGCAUGUGACGAGGUGGUGUGCAAGACAUGUGAUGGAAGUUGACGACAUGAUCUAAGAACAUGGGCGGUUGGCAACAAAGUGGAUGACAUGGUAGCAACUGCCCGUAACCACCUAAAGCAUGUACAUGGCACACGGUAGAAAGUGUCCCUUUGUAACUGCCAUUGGAAGCCCCUUUAUAUUGAUUGUAUCUCCGUCUGUGGAGAAGGCAAAUAGCAUUACAUAUGCGAGCCAAGUCUAAAACGAGUGUCCUUUGUAUAUUCUGCGAGAAUUAAUAAAGGUUGGGUUUUACCCGUAAAUUAUGUAUGUUCUUAGUUUGGCUAAAAGUCUAAAAAUUAUAAGUCAGGCCGUGUGUGUGCGAAAAAGUGAAGGCUGAGUGGCUGUGAGUGCCGCUGCUGUGCAGUGUCUAGUAUUGCAAAAAAAUUGACCCUAUUACAAUUGGUAUUAGAGCUUCAGGUUGUAACUCUUUAUCAUGGCAGGUGGGUCUACUUCAAACUUACGUGAUAUAGUGCAACGGUUGGAGGCGCUAAUCGGCGUGACUGAUGAUCCUUUAGAUAUGGCAGAUCUGAUUACAAAGAUUUACCAUCUAAUAGAUGGGGCAGAUCAGUUUCGCGAUGGGAUCCAACAAAGUUGUGAGUCAACGGAUGGCGUAGUUGAAGACCUGAAGAAGGAGGUCGAAAAAUUGAAGGCCGAAAUCACCGUUCUUCGACGGGCGUUGGCUGCUCCAAGCCAAGGAAAUGAAGAAUGCUCGAAGGUAAAGAUUCCUGAUCCAAAGGCGUUUGGUGGAACGCGUAAUGCAAAAGAAUUGGAGAAUUUACUGUGGGAGAUGGAACCUUUUUUUUGGUUGCCAAAGUUCCAAAUGCUGAGAAGGUCACAAUUACUAGCAUGUAUCUAAUUGGAGAUGCUAAAUUGUGGUGGAGAACUCGUAGGGUGGAGGAUGAAAGUGCGGGCAGACCGAAAAUUGAUACAUGGGAGAAACUCAGAAAAGAAAUGAAGGACCAAUUCUUGCCUAGCAAUGCAUCUUGGAUUGCUCGAGACCAUUUGAAAUGCUUGCGACAAAUGGGAUCUAUUCGGGAUUAUAUUAAGGAAUUCUCUACUUUAAUGUUGGAUGUUCAAAACAUGUCGGAGGACGACAAAUUGCAUAACUUUAUUUCUGGAAUGCAAGCAUGGGCGCAGAAUGAACUUCGGAGACAGACUGUGAAGGAUCUCCCAAGUGCCAUGGCUGCAGCGGAUUCUUUGGUGGACUAUCGUAGCACCCGUACUCUUUCGGAUAUUCCUCCCGCUUCAAAACCUAACAAACGGGUGGAGAAGAAAGGGGAAUGGAACCAUGAAGGAUCUCCAAGUGCAAUGGCUGCAGCGCAUACCUUGGUGGACUAUCGCAGCACCCGUACUCUUUCAGAUAUUCCUCCAAUUUCAAAACAUAACAAACGGGCGGAGAAGAAAGGGGAAUGGAGGAAGGAACUUCGAGAAGAAGUCGUUGAGAAGGGCAAGGUUGCCGAUGGAGCUGUUCAAAACAAUGGCGUCGCAAACAGGAAAACUGAUGGUUGCUGGAGCUGGGGAGGACCUCAUCUUGCUAGAGACUGUCCAAAUCAGGAGCGGGUAAAUGCUUUGCUUGGUACAGAAAAUAAUCGGGAUAGAGAAGGGGAAGAAGUUGUUGCUGCAUUGGUAAAUCCUUUGCAAUUGUUGAAUGCUAUCUCGUUUCUAAAUGCUACAAGUAACGAGACGAACCCUCAUUCUUUGUUGAUGCACAUCGAAAUGAGAAUUGGGGACAGAAGUGUGAUAGCUAUGGUAGAUACUAGCGCUACUCACAGCUUUGUUUGUGCCAGUUUGGUGACUAAGUAUCGAUUGACAAUGUCCAAAUGUCCCUCUUAUAUAUAGACUGUGAAUACCAAAGCACAAGCCAUUGUGGGUAUGGCUUAUGAUGUUUCUAUGUCUAUUGGGAACUGGAAAGGGAAGGUAAAUUUGAUGGUGAUUCCAAUGGAAGAGUUUGAGGUGAUCCUCGGAAUUGACUUCAUGCGGAAACAUCACUUUGUUCCAAUGCCUCACUUGAACGUAGUGAUGAUCGUGAAUGAUAGGGCUCCUUGUUUCGUGAAAGCUGUUUAUCCUUAUGGAAGAGAAGAAAUUCAAAGUAAGGCUUCGUUAAAUUCUGCCAUGAUGGUUGAAAAAGGUUUGAAGAAGGGAGGUGAGACUUUCCUUUAUGCUGGGGUUGAAGAGAAGCCUGAUGUUAAGGUUGAAGUGUCAGACUGCGUUGCUCAAAUUAUAAGUGACUUUGCUAAUGUGAUGCCACCAGAGUUGCCUAAUAAUAUGCCACCACGGAGGGCUAUUGAUCAUAAGAUAGAGUUGAUGCAGGGUUCGAUGCUUCCUGCUCUAACUCAUAGGGCGUUGAACAAGGUGAUGGUGAAAAAUAACAAUCACGUUCCGUUCGUGCAAGAGUUGAUGGAAAUAUUGAGCAAUACAUGGUGGUUCAUGAAGCUUGAUAUACGAUCUGGUUAUUGGCAGCUACGGAUAGCUGAAGGUGAUGAGUCUAAAACUACUUGAGUUACAAGGUAUGGCUCAUAUGAACUCCCUGUUAUGCCAUUCGGAUUGAUAAAUGCCCCUGGUACAUUUUUCAACCUCAUGAAUGAUGGGUUGUAUGAGUACAUAUGCGACUUUGUCGUUGUCUACCUAGACGGCAUUGUUAUCUAUAGUCGAAAUAUGGAUAAACAUAUGUCACACUUGAUAAAAGUGCUGUUUCGGUUCAGGGAGUAGAAGCUUUAUGAGAAGUGUGAAUUUUCUAGACAGGAGAUCAAAUUUCAUGGGCACUUAGUGAGCCAAAAUAAGGUGCGGAUGGACCCGACGAAGGUACAGUUCAUUGCGGAGUGGCAGGUGCCGAAAGCUGUGAAUGAAUUGACAUCUUUCCUCGGGUUGGCUAAUUAUUAUCAUAAAUUCAUUGCUGGUUACUCAAAGAAAGCUGCUCCUUCGACGAAGGUGUUGAAGAAGAACAUUAAGGGAAUUGGUCGGGAAAAUGCUGGGCUGCAUUUGGUGUGUCGAAAGAAGCUAUUGCCUCAGAACCUAUCUUGCGGCUCGCUGAGUUUGAGUUACUGUUUGAAGUGCAUACAGAUACAUCCAACAAGGCUGUUGGAGGUGUGCUGGUUCAAGAAGGUCAUCCUGUGGCCUUUGAAAGAACAAAGUAUAAUGAAGCAGAACAAAGGUAUUCGGCUCAUGAGGAGGAAGUCUUUGUUGCUUGUUAUUCACUUACGGGGCUUGAGUUAGAUAUUGUUGAUAAAAUCAAGUCAGAUGCUAUGAAUGAUCCAUUGUACAUAAAGACAAUGAAUCAUGCAAAGAAAGGUACUGUGCGACGGUACUGGAUCUAGGUCAACAAGGUAUUACUGGAUGAAACCUUGGUUGCGAGAUAUGGUGGUCCGUUCGAAGAGCAAAUCGAGGGCUACUUGAUAUUAACCUCGACGAGGGCGUCAAGUUCAAUCGGUGGGGGUGGUUUGCUAGACCCCUAAUAUUGCCGUGACAGAUGUCGGGGAGAAUUCAUCUCAAGGGCUUGUGCAUUGCCCCUUGACAUGGCUUCGUUGAAGCAUUGACAAGCAAUGUACAAGGCUAGGUGUGUGUCUAAGUUGGUGAUUUGCUUAGGCAAAGCAGCUAGACAAGGCAGCUGGAGGAACGCAAGGCGGCCUUGGUUCGUGGGCAUUAGCUAUGGAAAAUGCGUGUAUCUAUGUUGGUGAUGGGCUUAGGCAAGGCAGCUAGACAGGGCAGCUGGAGUGUUGGCAAGGUGGCCUUGGUUCGUGGGCGUCGGCAAUGGCAAACGGAAGCAUGGCACUGAACAAAGGCAUGCGCGGAUCUGUGGGAUGACUUAAUAUAUAGCAGGGCGUGGCCAUGAAAUCAUGGGCGAGGCAAUGUCCAAGGCAAAUCCGGGCGGAAGCAUGCGUGAAUCGGUGGGACGACUUAAUUUAUAACAUGGCGUGGCUAUGAAAUUAAGGGCGAGGCAAGGUCCAAGGCAAAGUUGGGCAAAGGCAUGCGCGGAUUGGUGGGACGACUUAAUUCGUAGGAGGGCGUGGCUAUGAAAUUAAGGGCGAGGCAAGGUCCAAGGCAAAGCUGGGCUGGAGACAAAGAAAACGUAGGCAAGGCUAGAGGCCAUCGUGCAUGGCAUGUGACGAGGUGGUGUGCAAGACAUGUGAUGGAAGUUGAAGACAUGAUCUAAGAACAAGGGCGGUUGGCUACAAAGUGGAAGACAUGGUAGAAACUGCACGUAACCACCUAAAGCAUGUACAUGGCACAUGCUAGAUACUGCCCCUUUGUAACUGCCAUUGGCAUCCCCUUUAUAUAGAUUGUAUCUCCGUUUGUGGAGAAGGCAAGUAGAAUUAUAUAUGCGAGCCAAGUCUAAAACGAGUGUCCUUUGUAUAUUCUGCGAGAAAUAAUAA
rnacentral:lncRNA from 1 species